UACAGAGGGUGCGAGCGUUAAUCGGAAUUACUGGGCGUAAAGCGCGCGUAGGCGGCUUUGCAAGCCGGAUGUGAAAUCCCCGGGCUCAACCUGGGAACUGCAUUCGGGACUGCAUUGCUCGAGUAUGGGAGAGGGAAGUGGAAUUUCAGGUGUAGCGGUGAAAUGCGUAGAUAUCUGAAGGAACAUCAGUGGCGAAAGCGACUUCCUGGACCAAUACUGACGCUCAUGUGCGAAAGCGUGGGGAGCAAACAGG
rnacentral:rRNA from 1 species